rnacentral:rRNA from 1 species
GAUGAACGCUGGCGGCGUGCCUAAUACAUGCAAGUCGAGCGAACAGACGAGGAGCUUUCUCCUCUGACGUUAGCGGCGGACGGGUGAGUAACACGUGGAUAACCUACCUAUAAGACUGGGAUAACUUCGGGAAACCGGAGCUAAUACCGGAUAAUCUAUUUAACCUCAUGGUUCAAUAGUGAAAGACGGUUUUGCUGUCACUUAUAGAUUGAUCCGCGCCGCAUUAGCUAGUUGGUAAGGUAACGGCUUACCAAGGCAACGAUGCGUAGCCGACCUGAGAGGGUGAUCGGCCACACUGGAACUGAGACACGGUCCAGACUCCUACGGGAGGCAGAAGUAGGGAAUCUUCCGAAAGGGGCGAAAGCCUGACGGAGAAACGCCGCGGGGGUGAUGAAGGUUUUCGGAUCGUAAAACUCGGUUAUUAGGGAAGAACAAAUGUGUAAGUAACUAGGCACGUCUUGACGGUACCUAAUCAGAAAGCCACGGCUAACUACGUG